rnacentral:rRNA from 1 species
GACGAACCGUGCGAACGUUAUUCGGAAUCACUGGGCUUAAAGCGCGUGUAGGCGGGCCGGCACGUCCGAGGCUGAAAUCCCCCGGCUCAACCGGGGAAGGGGCCCGGAUACGACCGGCCUGGAGGGGGGUAGGGGGCGCCGGAACUUCCGGUGGAGCGGUGAAAUGCGUUGAGAUCGGAAGGAACGCCCGCGGCGAGAGCGGGCGCCUGGACCCCACCUGACGCUGAGACGCGAAAGCCAGGGGAGCGAACGGG